CCCAGACUCCUACGGGAGGCAGCAGUGGGGAAUAUUGGGCAAUGGGCGCAAGCCUGACCCAGCAACGCCGCGUGAAGGAAGAAGGCUUUCGGGUUGUAAACUUCUUUUCUCAGGGACGAAGAAAGUGACGGUACCUGAGGAAUAAGCCACGGCUAACUACGUGCCAGCAGCCGCGGUAAUACGUAGGUGGCAAGCGUUAUCCGGAUUUACUGGGUGUAAAGGGCGUGUAGGCGGGACUGCAAGUCAGAUGUGAAAACCAUGGGCUCAACCCAUGGCCUGCAUUUGAAACUGUAGUUCUUGAGUGUUGGAGAGGCAGGCGGAAUUCCGGGUGUGGCGGUGAAAUGCGUAGAUAUUAGGAGGAACACCAGUGGCGAAGGCGGCCUGCUGGACGAUGACUGACGUUGAGGCUCGAAAGCGUGGGGAGCAAACAGGAUUAGAUACCCCAGUA
rnacentral:rRNA from 1 species